rnacentral:tRNA from 1 species
GAGGGUGUAGCUCAGUGGUAGAGCACUGGCCUAACAUGCAUCAGACCCUGGGUUCGAACCCCAGCACUAUCA